rnacentral:lncRNA from 1 species
AUGGCAGAUCCAACAAAAGUGUUCCAUUUGUUCGAUGAAUGUAUUUACCCUGGGAUUCAAAUAUUAGCAUCUGAAGUUCUUCCUAUUGGAUUAAUGAGGGCAUCAGAACAUUUUUGGAGAGUUGGUACCACUCUGUUUCAGCAGACCAUCUACCUUUGGAACCAGGCUUCCUUGCAUAACUUCUGCCACAUGGAUGAUGAUCUUACUGAGACAUCAGAACUGACCAUCUGAUGGCCCUGACAAGGGACUCUCCAGAUCAGUGUGUGUCCCUUUGGCUGUAGAAGAAAAACAGUUAAUUCUUUUUUUGAACCUUAACCCCUAACUUGCAACAGCUAUUCGCUAAUACCCGUGGACCACCCAACAGAGAGGGAGAUCAAAGGAACUGAGUCCUAACAAAUCUUGCACUAGCACAGUCACUUCAGCUGUUCUGGCAUGAAGAUAUUAUCAAGGGUUCAUUCAUCUGUAUACCUUUGGUUAUCACAUGUACCAUCUCCUGCCAGCACUGCCUGCCAGUAGUUAAUGUAGGCUAAACAGAGACAGGAAGGAAAGCCUGGAUAACACUUAAGUCUGCACUGAAAUCUAGAGAACUGUGGCAUUACCAUACAUUUAAGAGGAAGGACUGAGGAAGAGAACUUAAAUUCUUUUCUUACUACCUCCUUAGCAUUACUGUCUUUCCCAGUAAGUCUUGACUUCUCGUAAUUUACCUGGGGAACAUAGGAGUUUCCCCGAAGAGUGCAAAAGAAUUUUGAGUACACCUGAACAAUGGCAUGCAGCUGGCAAAUCCUUUGCUUCCAGAAGUGUUGCACUCGAACUGCACCGAACCCAUCCACUUCAUGAACCCACCUGGAUGCCAGAUGAAGUCCAGGAAAAGUUUCUGCACAUAUCUCAAGCUCUGACCACUUCUGGUCAAAAGUUGUCUGAUUGUCUUGACACUUUACUUGGUUUUUGAUUUUGCCUAUAUUUCGUGUGUGUCAAUGAUUUUGAAUUGUGCAAUGCUCUAAUACAGAUGAAGAAAGAAAGAUGAUGUGCCCAAAGUACAGUCACUGCCUCAGUUUAGUCUCAUUAAUUUCUGGUGAGAGUUCAGUCUUGAUUUGCUCUAGAACUCACUUAUUUGUUUAUCUGAUGGUCAAAUGUGUUUGUAAAGCUUU